rnacentral:rRNA from 1 species
UACGUAGGGUGCGAGUGUUGUUCGGAAUUACUGGGCGUAAAGCGCAUGUAGGUGGUUUGUUAAGUCAGAUGUGAAAUCCCACGGCUCAACUGUGGAAGUGCAUUUGAAACUGGCAAGCUAGAGUUCGGUAGGGGAUAGUGGAAUUCCUAGUGUAGAAGUGAAAUUCGUAGAUAUUAGGAGGAACACCGGUGGCGAAGGCGGCUAUCUGGACCUGAACUGACACUGAGAUGCGAAAGCGUGGGGAG